UAGUGACACCAUGAGCCUUUGUUCCUACCA
rnacentral:piRNA from 1 species